AAAUAAGAGGAUGCGCAUAAGAAUAAAUUUCCCCUUGCUGUAUGAACUCGGAAGGAACAAUUCGGGACUAAUCUGUGGGAAUGUGGUCGUGUGAAGCAAGCGAAAUAAAACGCCUAAAUCUCCCGCUCUGCUUCUUCCCUCCAAAGAUUUUGCCCUAAAUUUUAAGCAACACAAUACCACUACGGAUUUGUCUCUGUAGAAAGGCGUCAAGUCUUCGAUUAGGUUUUUCUUGCUUCUUCACGAGGUAUUAGUUUGUCAUAGCGGAGAAGACAUGAAUCGAAAGAAAGAGCUUUGCACACACUUCUUGCGUGGAAGUUGCCGAUUGGGUGAUCGGUGUAAUUUCUUACAUGCAAAUCAACAACAAUCAAAACCUAAUCCCUUUGAAUUUGGAUCACAAUCUUCAAACACGAAUCAGCAGCAACAAAAACCAAAUCCAUUUGGAUUCGGUACACAGAGUAACUCCCAGUUAAAUGUGCAAUCUGAUUUUGGUUCCAAAAAUCAGAAUCAGUUCAAGCCGUUUGAUAACAAAUGGAAUCGUUCCUCAUCAACAGCUUCAACAAACCCUGCACAGCCUAGAAAAGAUGAUAAGCAAACCCAGCUGGCUACCCAUAAGUGUACAGAUCCAGAGUUGUGCAACCGCCAAAUUGCUGAGGAUUUCCAACAAGAAAGACCACUUUGGAAGCUUACCUGUUAUGGCCACUGUAAAGAUCGGCCAUGUGACAUUGUCGGUGAUAUUAGCUAUGAAGAAAUCCGUGCGGCUGCUUAUGAUGACGCCAAGAGGGGACUACCCUUACCAUCAAUUGUUGAAAGAGAGAGGAACCUCCUGAAAACCAAGAUACUUGAAUUUGAGAACUUAUUGCGUAAUCCUUAUGUGAUAUCAAAUGCUGUUACUGCUGGACCAAGCUCAUUUCCUACAACCAAUCUCAGUGCUCCACCAUUGAAUGGUCAGACUAAUGUGCCUCCUACAGUCUCAAGUUUUAGCCAACUCGGCACUUCUUUGGGACCCAUCCUAAGCAAACCUGCACCGCCGAAUAUGACAUUUGGGCAACCAAGUGUAUUGCAGAACCCCAACCAAAAUAUGGGUGGAUUUGGGAAUAGCAACUCAAUUUUUAGAAACCAAGUUGUACUGCAACAGCAUCAGGUGGCCAAAAAUCGAUGCAGCCAUUUGGAAGUGGUAACAGCAUUUCCAACUUCAACAGUGGUUUUGGGAGUAGAGGAAACAAUCCAUCCACAGUUCCCUUUCCACCAACAUCACAGCUCCCAAGUUCUUCUUGUAAUCAGUCACCCUUUACAUCUAGUACAUCUAGAUCUCCAGUGCCCAGUAUGCUUGCACAAGCAUCUAUGAAAACAGGAGGUGUUUCUGUGAAUUCAUCUAUUUGGUCGAAGGAGGAGUGGACUCCUGGAGAGAUACCAGAAGAAGCACCUCCUGCUGAAUACAUUUAUUGAUUCAUCCAGAACUGCUCGGAAAGGGGAACCUUGUUGGAAAACAUGUUUGUUGUAUAUACUCGACAUACUUAGUCAUCUGCUCGUUGGUCUUCUCACAAACCAGGAAGCUUUUCCCUGAAUUCCAGUGGAAAACAAAAUCCCUAGGCCAUUCCCCAAACCUGAUAGAAUCGUAAAAUUCCAACUUUACGUCACAUUGAAAUGGUUGUGAAAUUUCAUUUAAUGUGGAUUUUGAUGAUUUUGGUUGCUUAAUCUUACUAAUAUAAAGAAAAGAGGGAAUUUUAGUACGACCUCAAAUUUUCCGUGUGUACUUUCUAUGUAGUCCGUUGGAUCAGAUGAUUUAAAACAUGGGAUUUGUUUGAGACCGUUCAUGAUAAGGA